rnacentral:rRNA from 1 species
CCUACGGGUGGCUGCAGUAGGGAAUAUUGCGCAAUGGGCGAAAGCCUGACGCAGCGACGCCGCGUGGGUGAUGAAGGCCUUCGGGUUGUAAAACCCUGUCCUUGGGGAAGAAGGAAGUGACGGUACCCAAGGAGGAAGCCCCGGCUAACUACGUGCCAGCAGCCGCGGUAAUACGUAGGUGGCAAGCGUUGUCCGGAAUUACUGGGUGUAAAGGGCGUGUAGGCGGGAGGACAAGUCAGAUGUGAAAGCCCAUGGCUUAACUGUGGAAUUGCAUCUGAAACUGUUUUUCUUGAGUGCUGGAGAGGAAAGUGGAAUUCCUAGUGUAGCGGUGAAAUGCGUAGAGAUUAGGAGGAACACCAGUGGCGAAGGCGGCUUUCUGGACAGUAACUGACGCUGAGGCGCGAAAGCGUGGGGAGCAAACAGGAUUAGAUACCCUAGUAGUC